GAUGAAAAUAUAGAUUUGCUGGAAGCCAAACAUGUAUACUGGUGUAUAAUUUUGUUAAGUUGCAAGCCUCGUUCUCCCCUCCUCACGGCGUGGCCGCCGCCUCUCCACCUGCACUCCAACCUCAUCGCUUCUUCCCGGAUGGUGCCUACUGGGAACAUCCCCCUCUCUCACCUCCACUUUGUUCUCCUACACGGCUUGUUGUCUGUUUGGCGUUAUGGGGGUGAAGGCGAAAAUGGCGCGAUGGAGGGAGAAGCACACAAAAGGAGCGGGAUAGAGAUGGAGCUAGGAAGAGGCGCUCUAGCGGCCGACGAAGCAGGCUUCGGGAGAUAGGUCUGAAGAAGAAAAGAAGAACUUGUGAACGUAGUCUCCAUAUUUGGGAAUGGAGAGAAAAUUAAUAUGAGGAAGCUAGAGGAGAUCCAUGGUGGCGAACAAGGGUACAGAUUAAGGACGUCGUUUGCGAAAGGCAUGAGUUUGGUAGGCGAGGGCACCAUGUACAAUGGGAGGAAGGACGUGUGAACCAGAGACUUUUGGCAAAGGCAUUUUUAUAUCUCAGUUUGUUAUUGGCUUGGCCGGUGAACUUGCUGACUGCCGGUAAUAAUAUGUCAUGAAUGUUGAAGAAAAGCCGUGUGGCAGGAGAGAAAUUUCUUCAUAGCAUCGACCAUCAGACCACCACUAGCAGUGACCAGCGAGAGAUAGUGGUAGAAGGUAGUUAAAAAAGUUGAACGAAUCGUUUUUCCAGUAGAGGCACCAAUGAUAGCAAAAUUGUUUGAUGUAUAGCAUGCAUACAUGUUUGUAUUAUAGUUCAAUUCUUUAAGGACUUCAUUUUUGGAAUUUGACUUUUGGAACAUUAUAGGCUCAUACUCCUUCUAUCCAUUUUGCUCUGUUCACAAAGACAUGCAAUGAUAUUUGAUUAUGUGGUUGUUUCAUGACUUCAUGUGUGUUAAA